GGGCCCGCACAAGCGGUGGAGUAUGUGGUUUAAUUCGAAGCAACGCGAAAAACCUUACCAGGGCUUAAAUGUAAGUUGCAUUAGUUAGAGAUAGCUAUUUCUUCGGACCACUUACAAGGUGCUGCAUGGUUGUCGUCAGCUCGUGCCGUGAGGUGUCAGGUUAAGUCCUAUAACGAGCGCAACCCCUGUUGUUAGUUGCCAGCGAGUCAUGUCGGGAACUCUAACAAGACUGCCGGUGCAAACCGUGAGGAAGGUGGGGAUGACGUCAAGUCAUCAUGGCCCUUACGAGUAGGGCUACACACGUGCUACAAUGGGGAAUACAGACGGACGCUAAGCCGCGAGGUGGUGCU
rnacentral:rRNA from 1 species